AGUACUGCGGAAUUUUCCACUUGCAGAAGCUUUGUUGCCAUUUCUCCUGCCACAUCUGCUCUUCAUUUGAAGUUCUUCCCCCAACAUGCAGGGAGCAAAGGGGACAAACUGUUGUUAAGAAUUCUAGAAGCGUCUCCUCCCUUUGUAACCGAGUAGAAGCUAUUUUACAAAUCCAAAAUGGGUUUCAUUUUGAAAGAAGCUGUGUUCAGAUUCUGAGCUGGAUCCCUCUGCGGGCAUCCAUCCUCCUUGUGAUGCGGGGCGGGCACUGGUAGCUGGGGUCUGAUGUGGAUGAGGCAGCAUGCUGUUUAUCUCGCUCUCACAUCACUUCAGCCUGCUCUUACAGAGAUUGCUGCAACAAGCUCCUUUAAGCUCCAGUUCCCAUCCUCUUAUUCUCCCUAACUCCAGCUAUUACAUAAACGUCGCAAAAAAAAAGCCCAAACUACAAGGGGCGGCGGGGGGUGUUAAUUAGAGGCAUGGACCAUCAUGGACAGCUUUCUAUCAAGUCUGCCUUCUCUCUUUGUAAAUACGGAAUUUGCUUCUUGAGUUUCUGAAAAGAAGUCCCACCUGGAUUUCUAGAAUAAACCAUGGCAGAGCCUUGGCAAGAUAGAGGCAGAGGGUGGAGGGGGUUUUAUUCUACUGGCACAGAUGCUUUCAGCUUUAAAACAACCUCCUACUUCUUAAUCCCUCCCCUCAGGUUCCUGCCAAGCUCUCUGGAAAUCUGAGUUUUGGACACCCUCCAACACCACAUCUCAUCCAUAUGCCUGCCACCAAGGAAGACAUUCCGCAGGCUCUUUCCUUCACUCCACGAAUGAUUCAUGUGAGUCUCUAGCCCAACCUGGAGACAACUGACUCAGUGAGACUGGCUGGCUAGGGAGUUGCCUCUCUCCACCUUUCCAGGACUGAGGAUACAGAUGUGUUCUUUCCUGCUGAGCUUGUAGAUUAUUUUAUCUCUCAAGACUCAUCAGAGAAGCAUCUUUCUUCAGCAGAUGGACAUCUCUGAGGUAGCAUUUGGCAAAGAUUAUGCAAGAACCCCAAGUGUUGUAUAAGGCGAUUUGUUUUGGAUGGAAAAAGUAGCAGCCACUGGAGACACGGGAAUCCUUCUCUUAAACCGAAAACCCACUUUUCGUCUACCUGUUUGCUGCGACCCGGUAAGACACCCCUUCUCCUGGUCGGUACAUUUCCCACGGAGGAGUCCCAGCACCACACUCGCUGAGCAGUCUGUUUCAGCUUUAAGCCUCCAGUAGUUAAUUUACCAUCUUUCGGACUGCUGAGUCCUUUGUCGGGCCUUGUCCCUGGCCACUCUCUCAGGCUGAAGAGUUCUGAGCUUGUACUGAGUCAUCUUUGGCCUCAUCCACGGGAAAUACACGUCAAAUUGGCAGUUUACAUUUUACAGGACUUUCAGGCUACUGCCAGGGCACAGGUAAAUGAAAGGAGUUGCUCCAUUUCUAAGCUUUCUUCUGACUCUCUGCUGCUCUGCUACCGCUGUUUCCUCUCCAUGCAGAUGUCAUGGGCUCACAGUGAGCUGGCCUGUGGCAAUGUCUGCUCAGAACGCUCUGGGAGUUUUUAUUUUUCAUUUUUUGCCCACGAAUGAGGUUUGAGGUUUCCCAGCUUUGUACUGACUGGUGCAUUCGUUUCUCAGACCUAUGGUGGUCUUUUUGGAUGUUGUGCCACUUGGACUCUGGUGUCCUGUUGGUUUCACACAACUUUUCUGUCUCACUCGUGGAGAAAAAAGCCACUUCUGCCGGCAGACAGGAACAUGCUUAUGGAAGCAGCUAUCUUGACCACGUGACCUAGCUGUAGCUAUGCCCACUCUGUUGGGUUGCUCCUUCCCUCAGCCUUGGCAGAGGGCUGUCUAGCCAGCUUCUGCAGUCUAGCCAGCUGACAGACACAAAUUUGUCUUUUAUUUUUGUCUCUAAUUUCUUCUUUCACUGGCCCUGUUGCGCAUGACUUGUUUAUCGAAUACUGUACCUUUCCAGGGCCCCCUGUUCUAUCUGCAGCAGAUCUGCUUUCUUGUCUCUGGCAGUUUUAAAUCUACUCUGUCUCUUUAAAUCUGUCUGUUUGCUACAACCUGCAAAUCAGAGAUUAUACUCUGGUUCUCCCUUUUACUCUUAUCCAGUCCUGUUUGAUGUAUCUGCUUGUCUUUAUACAUGUGAUUUAAGUUUAACAUUAUAUAUGUGAAUGUAAGAUAACUCUAUGCAACUUAAAUUCAAGUAUGCUAAGUCUCAAAUAUUUCCAAAUAGUUAUGUAUUUUUAAAUGAUGGUAAAAAUUUAAGGUUAUAAAGGUAACAAAGUAUUUAUAUCAUCCAGUCCUUCCUGUAAACUGUUUACAAAGGUAAAGCUUCUAUUACAAAGGGGAUUUUACUCUACUUCUUUGUCCUUUAUAGGUCCAAAUCUAACCUACUAAGUUAAAAACAGUUACAAUGAGGCUGGAGGGCUCUAAUUAAAAAAUCCCUCCACAGCCUCUCAGUUCUCCAGACAGAUCCUGUACUAAUCUGUAGCUACCUAUAUGCUUAAGGCAAGUAAUUAAAGACGAAUUUUGUCUACUGAGAUAUACUAAACAGACAGACAGCCCUCAAAUGCUCCAAGGUCUAGAGAAUAUGGCAUUUAAAAUGUUUUAUUGAAAGCUUUUUUGUAACAGAGAGAUAGGCCAGCUUCUGGCCCCGCCCCAUUUCCAUUUCACCAGAACACUGGUGAGCACUGAAGAAACUCCACCUACAAAGGUGGCAAUGCUAGCCACUGAGCAGCCCUGCCUUUCACCUCAACUGCUGCAAAGGACUCUUCAGAUCAUGGACAAGAGGACUGUCACCACGUGGCUAGGGCAAACGGUACUAAACAGAAAAAACCGCUGAGGUCAAUCUCAGCUAAGGCGAGCUGCAAAGAUUCAGACAAGCCCCACCUAGAAGAAGCAGGCAACAGCUGAACUGCCUAGAAGAAACAAUGAUCAUCUGAGCUGACUGAAAGAGGCUCACACUGAGCCAACUCCAGGAAAGGACACUCUACAGCUUGCUGAGCACCUACUGGCUGUACCGUGUGCUCCAAGCUUUUGGCUUUUGUAAGCUGUCUCCCAUGCUGGAAUGAGCUUUUCUGAUGCAUCUGUCUUUGAGUCACCUCUACUCCUACAAGUAACUCUUCAUCCAUAUUCCUGUAUGUAACUGUGAGAGCCCACAAAAUUGACUCUAUUCCAUCUUGACUUAAGGACCCCCAACAUUCAUGUAAAAUGCUGGGAGUAAAGAUUUUCAAGGAAGAGUUUGAAGAUGGCAGAAAUCCACCAGUUACCCCACAGUUGAACAGAUACAAAGUCUUCAUACACGAACACUUAGCAAUGACCAACACACUCCUUUUUCUUCUCAUCCAGCCUCACUUCCAAGCCCACAGGAAGGUCAAUUUUUGUCAUCACCUUGUGUGCCAAAGUGACAAACUUGGUCUGAAUAGAACUUGUUUUGAUUAAUCUUGCAACAAGCUGUUCACCAGAAUUUCUAACAGAUAAGUCCUUCUGUUCACUUGUUAGAGUCGUGACCAACAAAGAGCCCAAAUUAAAUUGCUGUGGGUCCAUCGGUUUCUUUUAUCUGUUGAGGACAGAAAUAUUGGGCCACUGAUGUGGCAAAUUGUUCCCUGAUGGCAAAAAUGCCUCUAAAAGUCAUCUUCUAGUACCUAGUUUUAGUAUGUGGUCAUACAUUAAAAAAAUAAAAACUAUAAGCUGUUAUUGAUGACUUAGUCAUAACAAAGUGCCCAGUCUCCACUCAUAAAAAUAACACGUAAAAUCGAAUUAAAGAUUUGGUAUUAAAUUCUAGAACAAUGUUUCCCAAGACCCUCUUUUUCUUCUGCCACUAGUUCCUAGAGAAGAUCCUUCUGUGACUUUGGUUUAGCUCGUUCCUGAUCAGGACAUACACACACAUGCUUAGACUCAGUUUAGGAAUGUAUGAGGAUGGAACCUUUUUUUUUUUUUUUUUUUUUUUUGCUUUUCAGUCUCUGGCGAACUAGCAACUUUUUAAUCCUGCCCCCCCCCUCCUUCCUCUCCAGUUUCUUUCACUCUGUUAAUUUGCAAAACCAACUCUCUGGAUGCCAUUCUGUGUGGGAAGAUCUUCUGUGAUUUUGUUUAUCUCACCGCACUCCCAGCUGAUAAAAAUAACUGGUGUAUCUUCUAAAUUCUCCAAGAGCUGAAGCACCUGGUAUGGCCCAGAUGCUUGAUGGGCACACAGUAAAUGUUUCUGUUGAAUGAGUACAAAAAGCCUUAUAAUUCACUGGCAAAAAGAAGAUACUGUCUUGCCCCAAAUAAAUUCCUCUUCAUAUUCAUUUUACUAUUUGAUUGUGUCCUGACAUGCCAUUAACAUUACUCAACCUUUCUAUAUUGUUUUUCCACUUUUUUGUAAAUCUAAACACAUAUGAAACUCAAAACAAGUGGGUUAUAAGAUCAGUGGACUGUUAUCAUUUCCUUGCAAAUGUUACCAAGAACGAGUUGUGAGUUUUAGUUGGAUAUUUUUUUCUACUCUUUGGUCUUUGUGGGACCCGCCACCCAGCUCCCAAAUAAUCACGAGAAGACUUAUUAUUACUUAGGAAUGCCCAGCAUUACCUUGUUUCUAGAGAGCUUUUCUUAAACUAUUCCAUCUACCUUUUGCCUCUGGGACUUUAUCUUUCUAUAUUCUAUACACCUUUCUUCUUACUCCAUGGCUUGCUGUGUAGUGGGGUGGCUGGUCAUUGAUGUCCUCCUCUCCUUUUCUCACUCCUCUGUCUUUCUUCCCAGAUUUCUCUUUCUAUUUAUUCUCUUUGCCUGGAAACCCCACCUAUCCAUUCUCCAGCCUAGCUACUGGACAUUCAUCUCUUUAUUAAACCAGCCAGUUGUUUUAGACAGACAAAGUAACACAGCUUCACAGAGUUAAACAAAUGCUACAUGAAAGAAUGCAAGACAUCUUUGCAUCAUUAAACAAAUAUUCCACAGCAUAAAUUAAUAUAAUACACUUUAAAAUAGUAUUCCACAGCAAGAGUCAUUUCCCAACCUAUGGAACCUCUUCUAUAUUCUGUGUCUCUACCCUGGCUUGUCUCCCAACAAGGAAACAAAUAUCCUGAUUCUUAUGAUAGUAACUUCAUUUUUCAUUUUUAAUUGUUUCAGCAUGAUAGAAUGUGUUUCUAAAUGUUAUCAUUUGUCUUGACACUUAAAACAGUGAUAUUUCUAUUUAGCUCCUUGCUGACAGAUGACUCCUUCAUCUGCUCUUUUGUUUAUAGCCAUCCAAUACCCUGAGUCACUGAUUUGAAGUUUCUCUGAGUCCGUCAGUAUUUCUCCAAUAGGAUCUGAAGUACUUGCAGACACUCCUCACAGUCUGGAUUUCUUUCAUACUAGCCCCUGGAUGCUAGGACAUUUGUGCUGGCAUGUUCUGUAAUCAGGAAGUAAAUAGUUCCUAGUCUUCAACUGCUUGGCAAUGUUAGGGGUUAUUAACACUCAACUCACCCCAGACCCAUCUGUUCCCUCAAGCCGCAACUUGUAGUUAUUAAGUUUACAACUGCCAUGAUAUUAAUUGGUUAUAAUGAUCUUAUAAGGAUCUUUUACCUCUCAUCUACUCUUUGAUGUUUAGUGAUAAAGCUCCACUAGGAAAGACAGAUUAAACUUGAUUUUCUUCUUUUGACCUGGAAUUUGGAAAACAUAAAAUAAAAAAAAAUUGUCAUACUAGUAAAGUAAUUUCUAAAUAUAACCUCCAUAAACUAAUGAUUUUUUUCAUAUCCUGUGGAUUUCAAUCCACUUUAACUCCUAGCCUUUCUGAAAGUUAAAAUGCUCUCUUUGACUAGUUGGAGCGUCUUCAGUUAUCUCUGGGGUCAUUUACAAAAUGUCUUUGUAAUGUGUGUCAGAAUGUCCCAGGUUCAUCUUGUCCUUUUCCUGUGCCAAACCUCAGAAUCAGGCAAUUCUUCAAAAGUCCUGGCUUCUAAUAAUGGGAAAAUUCAUCUCUAGGCCCAUAACUUGGUCAUUCACUAACUGGACAUUGGUUUUUAAUAUUUUCAUCAGAAAUAAAAAGUGUUUAGCAAAUUUACCAAUAUAAAUAAAACACAUAAUUUCAUACUGAUAUUUCCUAUUCAGAUAUGACACUUUGGGAGGUACUUUUUUUUUUACUUAACAUCACAAUAGUACCUCUGAAUAUUCUUUUUUCAAUGACAACAGGAAUUACUGUUCUAUAAUUACUCAUUGUUCUGGCCAAUGUGUAGAUAAUAAUUUGUGCAUUGCCUUAUUUAAUAACAUUCUAUACGUGUAUCAUUUUUAGUUCAGGGUGUAUAGCUAUACAUUUGGUUUUCACUAGGAAUUCUUAUGUUGAUGUUUCUAAUGACUUUUCUGAAGGUUAUUUCUAAUAAAUCUCACAGGGACAUUAUGUACAGUAUUCCAUAUGUUCUGUCAUUUUAAUAAGAAUCUAUAUCCUUUAUGAUUAUCUAAUUGCUGGCAUGUAAAACGUUGGGCUAAGUAUUAUUAGCUUGAUUGUUUUCAUAUAAACAUACACAUGUAUAUACUUAUAUAUUUAUAUAUAUAUGUAUUCAUACAUACACACAUGUAUGUGUGUUUAAAAUUUUGGUAGAAUAAAGAACCGUUGUUAAAAAUC